CCUACGGGAGGCAGCAGUAGGGAAUAUUGCUCAAUGGGGGAAACCCUGAAGCAGCAACGCCGCGUGGAGGAUGAAGGUUUUCGGAUUGUCAACUCCUUUUGUUAGAGAAGAUAAUGACGGUAUCUAACGAAUAAGCACCGGCUAACUCCGUGCCAGCAGCCGCGGUACUACGGAGGGUGCAAGCGUUACUCGGACUAACUUGGUGUACAGAGCGCGUAGGCGGGAUAGCAAGUCAGAUGUGAAAUCCUAUGGCUUAACCAUAGAACUGCAUUUGAAACUGUUAUUCUAGAGUAUGGGAGAGGCAGGUGGAAUUCUUGGUGUAGGGGUAAAAUCCGUAGAGAUCAAGAGGAAUACUCAUUGCGAAGGCGACCUGCUAGAACAUAACUGACGCUGAUGCGCGAAAGCGUGGGGAGCAAACAGGAUUAGAUACCCGUGUAGUC
rnacentral:rRNA from 1 species